rnacentral:rRNA from 1 species
UACGGAGGUGCGAGCGUUGUCCGGAAUCAUUGGGCGUAAAGGCGCGUAGGUGGCCCGGUCAGUCCGUGGUGAAGCGCGGGCUCAACCCCACGUCGGCCAUGGAUACUGCUGGCUGGAGCACUGUAGAGGCAGGCGGAAUUCCGGGUGUAGCGGUGGAAUGCGUAGAGAUCCGGAAGAACACCGGUGGCGAAGGCGGCCUGACUGGGCCAGUUGCUGGACACUGAGGCGCGACAGCGUGGGAGCAAGCAGG